UACGAAGGGUGCAAACGUUGCUCGGAAUUAUUGGGCGUAAAGCGCACGUAGGCGGCUAGGUCCGUCCGAUGUGAAAGCCCCCGGCUCAACCGGGGAAUUGCAUCGGAUACAGCCUGGCUUGAGGACGGUUGGGGUGAGUGGAACUCCUGGUGGAGCGGUGAAAUGCGUAGAUAUCAGGAGGAACACCGGUGGCGAAAGCGGCUCACUGGACCGUUACUGACGCUGAGGUGCGAAAGCUAGGGGAGCAAACGGG
rnacentral:rRNA from 1 species